UCAUCUCUUUCCACGCUGCAGUCCA
rnacentral:piRNA from 1 species